UACGUAGGGCGCAAGCGUUAUCCGGAAUUAUUGGGCGUAAAGAGCUCGUAGGCGGUUUGUCGCGUCUGCCGUGAAAGUCCGGGGCUCAACUCCGGAUCUGCGGUGGGUACGGGCAGACUAGAGUUCGGUAGGGGAGACUGGAAUUCCUGGUGUAGCGGUGAAAUGCGUAGAGAUGCGGAGGAACACCGAUGGCGAAGGCAGCCCCCUGGGCCGACACUGACGCUCAUGCACGAAAGCGUGGGGAGCAAACAGG
rnacentral:rRNA from 1 species